CGUCUGCUUUGUUUACAUUUCGUAUAGUUUUGAGAAUGGCCCCAAAACGCAAGGAACUGUCAUUGUCCGAGAAAAAUGCCAUUGCAGCAUUACAUAAGGCUGGUAUGAAAGGACCUGACAUCGCACGACAAACAAGACAUCCACUUCCAACAAUUUAUGGGGUUUUAAACCGUUUCAAAGGUCGGGGGAGUUUGGAAAACAAGGAGAGAACGGGAAGGCCGAAUCUGCUAACACCGCGGGAUACUCGCAAACUUUGCACCACUGUCAAGUCGGACAGAAAACGUCCACUACAUGAGAUAACUGCUGUUUUCAAUGAAUCUAGGGAAGAACCAGUAUCUAAGCGUACUGUUCAGAGAAAAUUGUAUGAAGAAGGGUACAAAAAACGUGUUGUAAAAAAAUCCAUCAGAAUUCGUGCUGCAAAUGUCAAAAAAAGGCUGGCAUGGUGUAAAUUGGCAAGACACAAAACUGUGGAAGAUUAUUGGAGAAGGGUCAUAUAUAGUGAUGAAUGUAAGGUGGAAAUUGGAAUGGAUAAUCGUGUUUUAGUCUGGAGACGGCCUGGUGAGGAGUGGACUCCUCCUUGCUUAAAUCCUGGCCGUGGGUCACGACUGAGUUUGAUGAUCUGGGGUUGCAUUACCUAUGAAGGUGUUGGUACUAUUACUUUUGUAACUGGUAAUAUAAAUGCUUUAAAGUAUAUUGAGAUAGUUGACAAUUUUGUUUGGCCUGUUAUUGCUCGUCAUUUCCCCGCUGACAAUUACAUAUUCCAAGAUGACAAUGCCCCGGUUCAUAGGGCCAAAAUUGUGAAGGAUUACAUGGAAAAAAAUCAACUUCAUGGUAUGGAAUGGCCAGCACAAAGUCCAGACCUUAAUAUUAUUGAAAAUAUGUGGCGUAAAAUUAAAAUUGAACUGCAAAAACAGGCACAUAACAUCAGUACAAAGGCUCAAAUGGAGACAGCAAUUCGGGACAUAUGGACAAAUAUAUCCUUAGAAUUCAUAAGAAAACUUUAUGAUUCAAUUCCAAGACGUUUGAGGCUAGUAAUAAGGGCAAAAGGAAACAUCACAAAGUAUUAG
rnacentral:sRNA from 1 species